GUCAAGUGCUGUUACUAGGGACAUGAAGCAUGGAUAAGUCCACCAGACGAGCAACGCCAAAUCCUAAGAAGCAAAUUUAUGGACACUUUAUACCUGGGAGAGACACAUACAAGGGCAGAUUAAGUAGACGGGAUUUGAUUGCCUUCGACACCACCUCCCACGACUUUAACCAAUUAAGCUAGUUGACAUCUACGACUACAUACAAUAACAUUCUAUAUAGCUAGUAACUGCACAUAUCUAAUUAAUUCAACAUCCAAGAAUGAGAGCCAAACAUAAAAAUUUCAGAAAACCCAUUAAAAUAUGAGCACAACAUAACAGAAUAAACAGGUCAAAAAUAUAGAUACAUAAUAUUUAGAGAAUAUAAUUACCUGAGAAAGCAAUUUGUCAAGAAGUUGGUGUUCUUCAUCACUUAGAGUGAUGGGUGGUUCAGUGGCAGAAGAUUGUUGGGAUUCAAUAAGUUGUUGGAUAGCUAUCUGAAUCUGUUCUACUUCAAUCUUGUUUUUGCUGAUUGCUGAAGUUUCCAUUUUUGGAAGGGAUUGAUUAUCUAAAGAAAAGUGAAGUCGGUGGAAAUGGAAAGUCAAAGAAAAACGAAAAGUAUAAUACAUACAAUGAAGUACAGCUUAUUAGUAAUACUAAAACUAAGCGAAAUUCGCACAAUCAAAAUUAUUCACGAUAUUAGAUGACCCUAUAUUAGAUUAUCCAAAUCUCAAAUUUCAAGACUCUACUCGGGGAAAGCUACAAUUAUCCUGUUUGUUGGGGAUGGGUAUGAUUCCAAAGACUCCUCCCAUUGCGCAUCUCAUAACUAAUCCAAUAACAUACUCCCUCCGUCCCAUAAUAUAGUGCCUAUUUCAUUUUUGGUGGUCAAACUUUAAAAUCUUUGACCGAAUAUUCUCAUUUGUAUAUAUAAAAAAACAUAUUCAUGUAGGAUCUUGUUAGAUUCGUCUCAAUGUGUAGUUUCAUAAUAUCAACUUUUUAUAUUUUUUAUUAAUAAGGAAUUGAAGAUAUUAAAGGUCAAA